rnacentral:rRNA from 1 species
AACGCGAAGAACCUUACCUACCCUUGACAUCCAGAGAAAGCUGCAGAGAUGCGGCUGUGCCGAAAGGAACUCUGAGACAGGUGCUGCAUGGCUGUCGUCAGCUCGUGUUGUGAGAUGUUGGGUUAAGUCCCGUAACGAGCGCAACCCUUAUCCUUAGUUGCCAACAUGUAAUGGUGGGGACUCUAAGGAGACUGCUGGUGAUGAACCGGAGGAAGGCGGGGACGACGUCAAGUCAUCAUGGCCUUUAUGGGUAGGGCUACACACGUGCUACAAUGGGGCGUACAGAGGGUAGCGAACCUGCGAAGGGGAGCCAAUCUCGGAAAGCGCCUCGUAGUCCGGAUUGAAGUCUGCAACUCGACUUCAUGAAGUCGGAAUCGCUAGUAAUCGCGAAUCAGAACGUCGCGGUGAAUACGUUCCCGGGCCUUGUACACACCGGUACUA